rnacentral:siRNA from 1 species
UCCAACUCGACCAUCUAUAGUCU